GAUGAAGAACGUAGCGAAAUGCGAUAAGUAAUGUGAAUUGCAGAAUUCAGUGAAUCAUCGAAUCUUUGAACGCACCUUGCGCCCUUUGGCUAUUCCGAAGGGCAUGCCUGUUUGAGUAUCGUGAACACCUCAACUCUCAUGGUUUGCCAUGAUGAGCUUGGACUUUGGGGGUUUUGCUGGCCUUUGGUCGGCUCCUCUCAAACGGAUCAGCUUUCCAGUGUUUGGUGGCGUCACGGGUGUGAUAACUAUCUACGCCUGUGGUUUUCUGCCAGAUAACCUUCAGCGAUGGAGGUUCGCUGGGGCUCAUAAAUGUCUCUCUUCAGUGGAGACAGCUUUUUGGACGUUUGAUCUCAAAUCAGGUAGGACUACCCGCUGAACUUAAGCAUAUCAAUAAGGGAGGA
rnacentral:misc_RNA from 1 species